rnacentral:lncRNA from 1 species
CAGUGUUGGAGUGCAGUGAUCUGUGAGAUAAUGAUGGAAAGCAGACAGGGGAAGCCAGGUUAUAAAAAUGUUGGGCAGGAGAUAAGGGGUCCAGGUGGUCAGGAGCAGUGGAGCUGGCCUGAGAGAAGACUGACUCUGGCUAAUGAAGGCCUGUGGCCACAUUCCUGGAGAACAGUGGGAGAGGAAGCCGUGGAGCCAGGAAGUGUCUGUCGGCGGGAACUAAUCCUGGUCACAUUACUACACAAAUGUCCCGGUGGCUUCACAUCAGUCCUGCUGGUCUCUGCAAACUUCCAGGUGGGGUCUGCUGCUGCUGCCAUUGCCUCUGUUGUUGUUGCUGCUGCUGCUGCCACCGGGGCUGCUGCCACCACUCACACUGCUCUUUCUGCUGAAACAGGGAGAGCGUGGAACUUCUGCACUACCCGAGGGCUGCAAACACAGUGGCUGUGCCUGGAUUACCCGCGUGUCAGCCAGCAUAGAGGGCAGGAUGAUACACAGUCUGGAACUCAUGCAGGUCCUGCUCCAGACACACUGCCCAACUGCGCGAUAACCCUGACUCUUAACAACAAGAUAGCUGAGAUGAAGAAUCGUUCAUGUUUUGGAUCAAGUCUCCACGAAAGACUGAUGUCUGUGAUUUAUGCUGCUCUCCUUCCCCCGCCGCCAUGCAGAGGUCAUGCUGAUGUCUGUGGUCUGUGCUGCCACUGGAAGGCAGUGUUGAGGUCCGUGGUCUGGAGACCAGGUUGAUUUGAGAAAACAUGUUGAUGUCUUUGGUGCAUGUUGCUACUAGAGACCAUGAUAAUGUCCAUGAUCUGUGCUGGGGCUAGAGAGGUUGAUGUCUGUGAUCUGUACUGCUGCCAGCUACUAUGGGCAGGAAAGCUUCUUUUGCAGUGGUAUUGAUGACUGCAGACUCAUACCUGAGAGUGAGAGACAUAGGUGGCUUCUCAUUCUUUGCCAACCUCCGCUCACCCCCUAUCCCAGAAAAGAAACAGUUCAGGCAUCAAGCUAUAGAAGAGAGUUCUUAAAAUUGUAAUAAAGAUGCUGAAGUGUAGCUCUUCACAGUUGAUGGCUUCUGUGGGUAGGGCCAAGGGGGACCAACACAGAGGAAUCAAUUUUCUUUAAAGGGCUGGCCACGGGAAGUCAAACCAUGUUCAAUUGAGUAUAUGGACAACCCAAACUGAACUUGGUAUUGGAUUUUUUUUUUUUUUUUUGAGGGAAGGCUGGAUCUGGGAGGAAGGGGAAGCAGAUGUCAUAGGGUGAAUUGUAUGAAAUUCUGAAAUAAUGAAUAAAAACAUUAUGUUAGGGAAAAAUAAAAUUCAUUAGAAAUCCAGGAGAUGAACGAUGUUGAUAGCAAGUUCAUGUUCACCUGUGAGACUCACGGACACUUUCCCAUCAUUCAGGAAGUUGUGCAUUUUUAAUGUUUCAUUUUAAUGUGUGGCUUCUCAGAGGGGACAUCUGGCAACAGGAAGUAAAAUCUUCAGGAGGUUCAGUGCUUCCUCUACUGGAAUUUCCAUAAUUAAGAUGUAAACAUUAUACUUUAUAAUAGACAAAAAGCUGGAAACGAUCCAAAUGUUCGGUGAUGUAGCAUUGACUGAGUUAUUGCAUAUUCAUUAGUAAAAUGUGUGCAGAAAUUAAACGCCAUGUUUUCAAAAAACAAAUUUCACAAUGUUCACACCAUAUUGUUGAAUGAAAAGCAGCUGACUCUACAACUGUGCAUAGUAUGAGCUCAAAAGAUGCACAUAUAUCCAUAUAUUUCAGGGUUGUUCAACAGAGAGUAAUUAGCGGUGGCUAUUUCUGUGUUCUUUGAAAAAUCUCUAAAUUUCAUGCUGUGUUGUGUGUGUUAUACAUGUGUGUGUUAUACCGUAAGAUGUGGAUUGUAUAUACCUGUUUGAAUAUAAAAUAUCCAAAGCUACAUUGUUAU